UUCUUUUCGAACGUCCCGGAACGCGUCAGAAAGCGUUUAAACUCCUCCAACUUUACCCGGGUGAAUAGUGUGAAGAUCCAUGCUGGGGUUAUUAGUGGAAAUGUGCAUGCUUCGAUGAAAAACAAAAGCUACAAAGUCGAGCCUAUUAAGGUCUGACUCCACGAAGAAUUGCGUCACUACUAGCAACUUUGGUCGAGUAUUGGCUGCAGUUGGACGGAACUCUUACCCUACCUCACUCUAGUACACACUCAUCACUGGCCACCCUAGAAUUCCAGCAGGAUUUGUACUCUCUCUAAUUGGUGUUCUUCGAGCUUCAUUGGAUGGAAUCAUCGCCGCCAGCUCAAUCGUUGAGGUCAAGUGCCCCUGGUCAGCCAGAAAUGAAACACCCCAGCAAGCAGCUGAGAAUAAAUACUUUUAUUUGACAAUAGAUGAAGUUACUGGCAUCAAAUACAGAGUCAUCUGUACUUGGCUGAGUGUUACAGGGUUCCCACUCGUCCUGGAAAACGUGGAAAAUGAUUUACCAAUCUUCCAGUCCUGGAAAACACAUGGAAAAUGACAAAAAAAGUAAAAUGUCCAGGAAAAGCUCGAGUUGCAAAAUAAUAUUUCCUCCCUCUGCUUCUCUCUGCCUUGUGGGUGAACAGAAACAUUGACAUUUUAUACACGUUUUCAGAUGUCUUUAAAGGAAGAAUCGCCCCAAAAUUCAUAUGUACAAUAAACCCUUCAAUGUGAAGUAGUAUUAUUGUUACAUAUUUUUUUGGACAUAAAUUGAAAAAAAGAACAUUUUUGAAAUCCAAGCAAAAUCUGGAUAUGUGAAACAUCCUUCACCCCGCCCCUGAUGUCACCAGUGCUUAGGAUUACAGACCAUGUGUUCUAGCUAAGCCAGGAUGCCGACAUGUUCUGCACCAAACUGCAACAAAACUGAGAGAACGCACCCAAAUUGGUCCUUCUUUAACCUCCCGUGGGGUCAACCUGACAGUAUAAAGCUGUAGCUGUCACAGUUGAGGCUCGUUCAUCAGCCGGGGAAAUUUGCAUGCAUCUAAUCAUUACUGGUUAUGAACCGCUUAGUUAUAGCCUCUCGUGCUGGUACUCUAUAAGCAACAACAUACUUAAUGAGGCGGCACGGUGGCGCAGCUGUUCAAUCCCGGACCUCCGUGUGUGGAGCAUGUUCUCGCCGUGUCUGCGUGUAUGUAACCUGCCUCCUGCCCGUUGUUGUCCCCGUGUCUGCGUGUGUGUAACCUGCCUCCUGCCCAUUAACAGCUGGGAUAGGCUCUAGCACUCCUGCGACCAUCAUGCGGCUAAGAAAAUGGAUGGAUGGAUAUACAUGCCCCCUCUCCAACAUGUCAACUUCCGCCUGUGUGUAUAGGGUCUGGCUCAAACGCUUGAACAUUGUACUUAGUUAUUUUUUAUCUGCUCAAUGGCGGGAGUAGUAAUAACGUGGAGCAACGGAUGGAUUUACCCUUCAUAAAUUUGCAAGAGACUCGGUUUGUCGAGAAAAAUGGAUGCAGAUGAUGAGAGCUUUGUGGGUUCCAAAUGUCAGGUAGGUGUGUAUAGAGCUACUAAAAAAAUAAUAGUUUGGGGCAGACCAUGUAAUCGGUGUCUCAUAACAUAACAAAAGAUCCGCGUACGAAAUGUGUCGAUGUGCGUGUAUGACGGCGUCGGGCUGCUGCGUCGCUUCGCAAGCAAAGGCUACGCUUCGGGCUCGUGGACAGUGGUGGCUCUGAAAAACACUGCCACAAUGCCGCCCUCAGCCGUGUGCGACGACAACGGCAUAAAGCGCCCCGCCUCGACGGUGUUUUUCAUCACAUGCUGCGGUGGCUAUGAACAACCCCCUAAAGCAGCACGGCCAGCUCCUAUUUAAAGCCACCAUAGCGCCGAAAAUGAGCCACACCGGGUGAGGUGCCCCGUUCGCCGGUCACAGCUUCAGUGAAGGUUCCGCGUCGGGCUUGCAGACGGCGACGGCUCUGAAGAACACAGUCGACAAUGCCUCACUCAGCCGCGUGCGACGACAACGCAGUAAAGAGCCCCAGCUUGACGGUGUUGUUCAUCGCGUACUGCGGCGCCUACGAACAACCCCCUAAAGCAGCACGGCUCAGCUCUGUGAUAAGCCACCUCGGCGCCGAAAAUGACACACACCGGCCGGCUGCAAUGACCAGCGAUGGCUCAUCUCCAACGCGGAAGUGGAUCAGAUGGGGAGGCGGUUUGGCCGCGAUCGCAUAUCAUCUGAAUAUAGCUCAAAACAAAAGUGUAAUAUUGCCCCGGUAACUUCACUCGGUUGUGUGGUGUUCUCAUUUUUUAAAAGAACUUUCGUGUCAGAAGGGGUGUUGUUCAUCUCCCAUAGUAGCGUGCACCGUGUGUUUUCAUUGCCGAAUGUCUGGGUGACGUCACGGACGGAGGAUGCAGCCAAUAAGGCGACCACUUGGAUGUCGUAGAAUGACACUUCUGCAACUUUGCGCAUGGAAGACCUGCUCUCCGCUUACAUUUAUUUUUUCGUAUAAACAUUGAAGUAUUUUUCAUUACAAUAUCAAUUUUAGAAUGUUUAUAGAGAUGAAACUUGACCUUUAAGGGCACAGAAAUCAUUCCUGUGAUGAGGGAUCCAUCCUGGGCUUGUAACCUGGAUGUACCGUAUUUUCCAGACUAUAAGUCGUGUUUUUUGUGCGACUGGGUGCGACUUAUUCUCCAGAGCAACUUGUAUGUGAAAUUAUUAACACAUUAUUACAUCUAUCCAUCCAUUUUUCGAGUUGCUUAUGUUAUUUUCACACUGACAAUCAUAAGAGGGCACUCUGGGCCCGUGUAUCUGAUGAGGAUGGAGAGCACAGCUUCCGGGUGAAUCAGCCAUGCAACUUUCCAGGAAAUCAUUGGAUACCUUGACAAAGUAUGGGUUCCGUGACACCAAAACCAUCCUGUCAGGAUUCAGAAAGGCUGGAAUAGAGCUUGUGCACCUACGUCACUGAAGACACGUGACCUGCCUAUUUGACGGUCUAGCAAAGCAUUCUUCAAUGCUAAAUCGGUUGGAGACGGCAUGAAAAUAUGUCUUAUAGCACGACACCCGGAGUUUUGCCCGAUACCGUUAAACAUUUAGAAGGUUAGAGUAGAUGAAGAUACGUGGAAAAAUGAGAGACACUUGGCAUAGAAGAUUUAAUGCCGAAGUCAAUGUAUUCGCCGAUAAGAAAGUGGACUGUUUACCCGCUUCUGCUUGUCUUUGACAACUGGAUCCACACAUGUAUCUCGUGAGUAAGUCGUCGAGAUUUACACGGAAGAGUGUGAAAGGGUAGAAAAGUCUAGACACAUACAAAAACUUUCUUGCUGGAUCUGUUCUCAAUCAAGAAUAAAUUCCAGAUAGUGAUGGAGCCACUCAGAUUUUUUCAAUACAAAUACCAAUAUUUAAAUAAAUGACCCCUGGUUUUGCACAAACUCACAUUCAUUAACUAUGAUUGCAAAAAAAAAGAAGACAGCAAAUCGGCUCCUCCAUACACAAUGCGUGUUGCGGCCACAUGUUAAACUUCGGUAAACUUCUCCCGGACAGAUUUUUUUUUCCAAUAUGCAUUGUUCUCAAAUGAGUCCAAUGCGUAUUUAAAAAAAGAAAAUAAACUGCUGAGAUAGGCUUCAGCCCCCGUACUCCCUACCUCACACGUUAACCUUUGUAAACAUCACUGUGACUGAUGGUUUAUUUUCUUUUUUUUUUUUAAUAGGCAUUGGACUCAUUUGAGGACAAUGCAUAUUAAUUGCAUAUUAUUUCCCGAAGUUCGUGUGGCCACAACAAGCUUCAUGUAUGGAGGAGCCGACUCCCUGUCUUUUUUUUUUUUUUUUUUUUU